GUUGACAGACACAGAAUUUCAACACAGAGAUACGAUAGAGCUGAAGACAAACACACACGUACACUGAAGCCACCGCUCUGCACUGAAGUCACGGCAAGGAGGUGGGGAACAAAGUGCACUGCAGUUUCAAGAGGAAAAAUAGCUGAGUAUUGCAGAAUACUGCAUGCUUCUGCUGGCCCCACGGGAUGCAGAGGAAUCAUGCUGAUCCAUCACGGUGAUGCCACUGUCCACCACUAUCUCCCACAUCUGUGCUUUUAAAGAGGUAAAGGCAGAGAUGAAUCGUUGUUGGACUCCAAAAUUUCUUUAGAGACUUGUCAACUCUGACUGCAGAAGACAAUCUGUAUUCUCCAAAACCUUGAGGAUCUCAACUAGAGGAAGAGGUAACACAGGAUGGGAAGUUCCAUCUUCUCCAAAAAUUCUGCCAGAGCAGGCUUCAGAAAGCAAACAUUUUUAGACAAG
ensembl:lncRNA